rnacentral:rRNA from 1 species
AUUGAACGCUGGCGGCAUGCCUAACACAUGCAAGUCGAACGGAAACGAUGGAAGCUUGCUUCCAGGCGUCGAGUGGCGGACGGGUGAGUAAUGCUUGGGAAUCUGCCCAGUAGUGGGGGACAACUCGAGGAAACUCGAGCUAAUACCGCAUACGCCCUACGGGGGAAAGCGGGGGAUCUUCGGACCUCGCGCUAUUGGAUGAGCCCAAGUCGGAUUAGCUUGUGGUGGGUAAGCCUACCAAGGCGACGAUCCGUAGCUGGUCUGAGAGGAUGAUCAGCCACACUGGGACUGAGACACGGCCCAGACUCCUACGGGGAGGCAGCAGUGGGGAAUAUUGGACAAUGGGGGCAACCCUGAUCCAGCAAUGCCGCGUGUGUGAAGAAGGCCUGCGGGUUGUAAAGCACUUUCAGUAGGGACGAAAAGCCUAAGG